GGGGACAACCCGCCGAAAGGCGGGCUAAACCCGCGUACAUGCCACCGGGGCAUCCCGGAGGCAGGAAAGGCUUCGGCCGGACAGGGAUGGGCAUGCGGCGCAUUAGGCAGUAGGCGGGGUAACGGCCCACCUAACCAACGAUGCGUAGGGGUUCUGAGAGGAAGGUCCCCCACACUGGUACUGAGACACGGACCAGACUCCUACGGGAGGCAGCAGUGAGGAAUAUUGGUCAAUGGUCGGGAGACUGAACCAGCCAAGCCGCGUGAGGGAGGAAGGUACAGAGUAUCGUAAACCUCUUUUGUCAGGGAACAAAGACUGGGACGCGUCCCCGGAUGAGUGUACCUGAAGAAAAAGCAUCGGCUAACUCCGUGCCAGCAGCCGCGGUAAUACGGAGGAUGCGAGCGUUAUCCGGAUUUAUUGGGUUUAAAGGGUGCGCAGGCGGUCUGUUAAGUCAGCGGUCAAAGCCCGGGGCUCAACCCCGGCCCGCCGUUGAAACUGGCAGUCUCGAGUUGGAGAGAAGUAUGCGGAAUGCGCGGUGUAGCGGUGAAAUGCAUAGAUAUCGCGCAGAACUCCGAUUGCGAAGGCAGCAUGCCGGCUCCACACUGACGCUGAGGCACGAAAGCGUGGGUAUCGAACAGGAUUAGAUACCCUGGUAGUCCACGCAGUAAACGAUGAA
rnacentral:rRNA from 1 species